AUUGAACGCUGGCGGCAUGCCUUACACAUGCAAGUCGAACGGUAACGCGGGGCAACCUGGCGACGAGUGGCGAACGGGUGAGUAAUGCAUCGGAACGUGCCCAUCAGUGGGGGAUAGCCCGGCGAAAGCCGGAUUAAUACCGCAUACGACCUGAGGGUGAAAGCGGGGGACCGUAAGGCCUCGCGCUGAUGGAGCGGCCGAUGUCGGAUUAGCUAGUUGGUGGGGUAAAGGCUUACCAAGGAAACGAUCCGUAGCUGGUCUGAGAGGACGACCAGCCACACUGGGACUGAGACACGGCCCAGACUCCUACGGGAGGCAGCAGUGGGGAAUUUUGGACAAUGGGCGCAAGCCUGAUCCAGCCAUGCCGCGUGCGGGAAGAAGGCCUUCGGGUUGUAAACCGCUUUUGUCAGGGAAGAAACGGUCUGAACUAAUACUUUGGGCUAAUGACGGUACCUGAAGAAUAAGCACCGGCUAACUACGUGCCAGCCGCCGCCGUAAUAC
rnacentral:rRNA from 1 species